UGGGGAAUUUUGCACAAUCGGGGAAACCCUGAUGCAGCGACGCCGCGUGAUUUAGAAGGCCUUCGGGUUGUAAAAAUCUUUUUUACGGGAUGAAAAUGACAUUACCGUAAGAAUAAGUUCCGGCUAACUACGUGCCAGCAGCCGCGGUAAUACUUAUGGACCGAGCGUUGUCCGGAAUCAUUGGGCGUAAAGGGUACGUAGGCGGCCUAGUAAGUUAGAAGGGAAAUAAUAUAGCUCAACUAUAUAAAGCAUUUAAAACUGCUAGGCUUGGGAGAAGGAAGGGAAAGUGGAAUUCCUAGUGUAGCGGUGAAAUGCAAAGAUAAUAGAAAGAGUACCGGUGGCGAAGGGGACUUUCUGGUCAUCAUCAGACGCUGAGGUACGAAAGCGUGGGUAGCAGAGAAG
rnacentral:rRNA from 1 species